rnacentral:misc_RNA from 1 species
GAUGAAGAACGUAGCGAAAUGCGAUAAGUAAUGCGAAUUGCAGAAUUCAGUGAAUCAUCGAAUCUUUUAACGCACCUUGCGCCCUUUGGCAUUCCGAAGGGCAUGCCUGUUUGAGUAUCAUGAACACCUCAACUCUUCAUGGUUUUCCAUGAUGAGCUUGGACUUUGGGGGUCUUGCUGGCCUGCGGUCGGCUCCUCUCAAAUGAAUCAGCUUACCAGUGUUUGGUGGGCAUCACAGGUGUGAUAACUAUCUGCGCUUGUGGUUUUCCACCAAGUAACCUUCAGCAGUGGAGGUUCACUGGAGCUCACAGACGUCUCUCCUCAGUGAGGACAGCCCUUUGAAUGUUUGAUCUCAAAUCAGGUAGGACUACCCGCUGAACUUAAGCAUAUCAAUAAGUGGAGGA